rnacentral:rRNA from 1 species
GAUGAACGCUGGCGGCGUGCCUAAUACAUGCAAGUCGAGCGAACGGACGAGAAGCUUGUUUCUCUGAUGUUAGCGGCGGACGGGUGAGUAACACGUGGAUAACCUACCUAUAAGACUGGGAUAACUUCGGGAAACCGGAGCUAAUACCGGAUGAUAUUUUGAACCGCAUGGUUCAAAAGUGAAAGACGGUCUUGCUGUCACUUAUAGAUGGAUCCGCGCUGCAUUAGCUAGUUGGUAAGGUAACGGCUUACCAAGGCAACGAUGCAUAGCCGACCUGAGAGGGUGAUCGGCCACACUGGAACUGAGACACGGUCCAGACUCCUACGGGAGGCAGCAGUAGGGAAUCUUCCACAAUGGGCGAAAGCCUGACGGAGCAACGCCGCGUGAGUGAUGAAGGUCUUCGGAUCGUAAAACUCUGUUAUUAGGGAAGAACAUAUGUGUAAUUAACUGUGCACAUCUUGACGGUACCUAAUCAGAAAGCCACGGCUAACUACGUG